rnacentral:rRNA from 1 species
UACGUAGGGGGCAAGCGUUGUCCGGAUUUAUUGGGCGUAAAGAGCGUGUAGGCGGUUUGGUAGGUCCGCUGUGAAAACUCGAGCUCAACCUCGAGACGCCGGUGGAAACCAUCAGACUAGAGUCCGGAAGAGGAGAGUGGAAUUCCUGGUGUAGCGGUGAAAUGCGCAGAUAUCAGGAGGAACACCGAUGGCGAAGGCAGGUCUCUGGGCCGAUACUGACGCUGAGGAGCGAAAGCGUGGGGAGCGAACAGG